GCUAUAACACAUGUUGUUGCCUACAUUCUGAUUUCAUUUGGUUGUCAUGGCAGGGGUCAGAGACAGGCAGUAGUGUGACGGCCUUGAAUUUGUCUGAACCGUCUCAGUGCUUCUCCUUCCAAUAGGGCGGUUCCCCUUUUAAUUCCCUAUUAAAUAGCCAGCAUCAGCUAAGCAAAAGUGGGGUUGUGAUGGUGGUGCAAAUGAGGAUGUGUUCAACCCUCAGUUCCGAAGCUUUUUUACUCUGUUUUGUUCUAUUUCAAAGAGUGCUUUGUAGCCUUGUCUCAAGUUUAACCACCAGGAUCGGAUCCAUUCACAUCUCAGUUGGUCUCCGCUGUUUCUUCAUGGCCUUUCUCAGCUGGAGAUCUGUUGGCUGAUUGGAUUGUCUGACUGACCGACUGACUACAACUUUCUUGCAUAUGGCACAACCUACCUGGCACCCUACAAACAAUAACCUCAAGUCAAAACCGUUACAGUAGAGGGAACGAGAGCACCGCCCAUGUUGAUGUAGGGAGAGGACAAACAGGUCAUCAGAUGGAUACCGUUCCCCUACCCGUGGUGUUGGUUGAGGCUGCAUUGGGAGAAGGAUGCAUCAACAACCUGGAAAGAUGUUAGUGGUGCACUCCCUCAUAACACUUUUUAUUUAGUGAUAAAUGAGUGUAUCGUCUUCAAGCUUGAAAAGGACGCUAUGUAAAUGCAUUUAUUAUUCUAAUAAAUGAAUACAUUCAUUCUUUGUAACAAUUAGAUCUCUCAUUGCUUUAAACUAGUAGCGAGCUCAUCUUAAUCACGUGUUGUUAAUUCUCUCUUUCUUUCCAGAAGCAAUCAGUUACAAUGCACCUGGUCAAGGUCAAGGUUUCUUGCAUGCAUGGAUUUGUUAACAAUAAUUAAUUUUGGAAAAUAAUAUGAAUUCCCAUACUAGGCAUGAAUACAUUUUAUGUUGCAUUUCUUCCACCCAAGCCUUGUACACCUGAGUCAGGAAGAAGAGACAACUAGUAUUUUACAUUUAGCAGAUGCUCUUAUCCAGAGCAAUUUACAGUAUUGAGUGCAUACAUUUUCAUACUGGUCCCACGUGGAAAUCAAACCCACAUCCCUGGCAAUGCAAGAGACAUGCUCUAGCAACUGAGCCACACAGGACAACUAAACUCAGCAAAAAAGAAAUGUCCUCCCACUGUCAACUGCGUUUAUUUUCAGCAACCUUAACAUGUGUAAAUAUUUGUAUGAACAUAACAAGAUUCAACAACUGAGACAUAAACUGAACAAGUUCCACAUUUGCCAGUUCUUGCUGUGAGAUGUUACCCCACUCUUCCACCAAGGCACCUGCAAGUUCCCGGACAUUUCUGGGGGGAAUGGCCCUAGCCCUCACCCUCUGAUCCAACAGGUCCCAGACGUGCUCAAUGGGACUGAGAUCCGGGCUCUUCGCUGGCCAUGGCAGAGACUGCCUGCAAUGACAACAAGCUCAGUCCGAUGAUGCUGUGACACACCGCCCCAGACCAUGACGGAACCUCCACCUCGAAAUCGAUCCCGCUCUGGAGUACAGGCCUCGGUGUAACGCUCAUUCCAUUCGACGAUAAACGUAAAUCCGACCAUCACCCCUGGUGAGACAAAACCGCGACUCGUCAGUGAAGAGCACUUUCUGUCAGUCCUGUCAGGUCCAGCAACGGUGGGUUUGGCAACGUUGUUGCCAGUGAUGUCUGGUGAGGACCUGCCUUACAACAGGCCUACAAGCCCUUAGUCCAGCCUCUCUCAGCCUAUUGCGGACAGUCUGAGCACUGAUGGAGGGAUUGUGCAUUCCUGGUGUAACUCGGGCAGUUGUUGUUGCCAACCUGUACCUGUCCCACAGGUGUGAUGUUCGGAUGUACCGAUCAGGUGUUGUUACAUGUGGUCUGUCACUGUGAGGACGAUCAGCUGUCCAUCCUGUCUCCCUGUAGCGCUGUCUUAGGCGUCUCACAGUGCGGACAUUGCAAUUUGUUGCCCUGGCCACAUCUGCAGUCCUCUUGCCUCCUGGCAGCAUGCCUAAGGCACGUUCACGCAGAUGAGCAGGUGCAUGUUCAUUAAUUGUUUAUGGUUCAUUGAACAAGCAUGGGAAACAGUGUUUAAACCCUUUACAAUGAAGAUCUGUGAAGUUAUUUGGAUUUUUACGAAUUAUCUUUGAAAGACAGGGUCCUGAAAAAGGGACAUUUCUUUUUUUGCUGAGUUUAGUAGAUAACUGGCUCUUGAUGAUCAAGUCCCCAGUCUAGAUUGAAGAUCAUAAUUAGUUGAUUAGUUUGAAUCACUUGUGCUAAUGCUUGGCUGGAGAAAAAUAUUGUAUACUGUGGCUCUCUAAGAACAGCUGGCCACACAUUUAAAGGUAGCUAUAGUAAGCCUAAGCCUCAGUUUACACUAGCUACCUUGUUUGUUUAUAUAGCAUUUAUACAUGACAGAAACAUUGCUUCCUUGCUGAAAAAUAUAUAGAAUGUAUGUUUCAGUGAAAAGCAUAGCAACAUCAAGGUAACAUUGUAACAGCUGAUGCUGUUUUUCCAAAGCCAAAACCGCCCAUUAGCCGCUGAGUCUACCAUUAAAAAUGUUUUCAGUAAUUGUUUUCAGUAUCCUAAUGUUGUUUUUGUUUGGUGUGUUCUGAUUGUUUCAGUGCAUGCAUUCAACAAGCGUUGGACGAAGGACUUCCACAAGGCCGCUAUCUCCAAAAUUCACUCAAAAAGUGAUCUAUUUUUUGGGGGAAAUAAUUAUCUUUUAAAAUUCCAUUGGUUAAAAGCUAUUGCUCAGUCAUCACUUGGCUCAUGUAAAUUCUGUAGUUGCUCCAUCCCACGGUCAACAUCCCCAAUGUGUUCACAUUUCUCUUAUGUAAAUGUUAUUUGGGAAAUAUUCGGUCUUUAUUUUUUUCUUCAUUAGCAUGCUGAUGAUUUCAAGUUGUAUUGAUUUAUUUUGAUCUGUUUAGACAUCGAAUACAUGUUGUUUAGUAUAUUUAUUAAGUUUAGUUCAGUUUUCUCUGUGAGAAGCAAGUUCAUUUAAAGUUAUAUGUUAUUUGGUUUACGUAGACACAACAUGUCAAUGUUAAUACAAAAUUCAAAAGGCACUCGCACAUCUGAGCUAUCUUUGUUGCAGGUGCGUGGUAACACUUGAAUAUGAUGAGAAAAAAACAAGAAACACGCACACUGCUCUUGCUAGUAUCACUGCUCUUUAAUAAGCUUUACAUAUCGGCCUCAAGGCCUUUGUCAGAGCUUUUGUGAGUGUUUAUAAUUUGCACCCUUAUGUAGACAUUACUCCCCCCCCCCACAUCUCAAUGCAUCGAAUGGGGUUGGAGUCGAGGAAAAUUACCAAAAGGUCGUAAUGACGAGAUGCCCAUGCAUGUUGUGUUGUAAAUGUGAACAUGAAUUAAUGCCACUAAUUCAGACUACUCUUACGUUUUUUCUUGCACUGUACCGAAUGAUUUAUGAAAACUUGUGAUUUAUGAUAGGUCGAUGUCCUCAUUGUGGUUUUACAGACGUGCUUAAUGCGUUUUUAUGUACACACUUUAUUAGAAUACUUAUGAAAUGCACAUUGUUAUAUUUGGUAACACUUGCUUAUUUUCCCUGGACUCCAACCCCAUCCGAUGCAUUGAACAGAUGUGGGGGAGCAAUGUUGUUAAUACACAAAGUAACCAAAAACCUGAUAUUUGUAUACAUAAUGCUUGUUUGCCAGAAGUUCACAAGUCGCCGCAAAUUUGCCACAAUAGCUUGCCAGAAAACUAAUUUGCGUGUGAAAAUAUUGUCAAAAAUAUGUCACAACUAUUUGCCAGAAAUAAGCCUGUUUUUUCCCCGUUAAGGGUAGAUGUUAAAACACAACCAUCCUCACUCAGGGUGUAUUGUGCUUCAAUGUAGUUCUAUACUGAAGGCCUUCUUCUGACCUGCAGGUUGUUUACCAGGCACCCAGUGUAACCUGAACUGGGAAGUGUGAUGGCAGAAACACAAGAUACCUCUUGCCACUUUAGUAAACUGGAGUCUUGUUCUAAAGUCAUACUCAGUCCAAGUUGCACUAUAUAUAGAAUUGACUUUGACCUGUAUUACAUAUAUUAUAAACAUUUCAUCAUAUCAUAA